rnacentral:ncRNA from 1 species
AAUGGACGGGACAAAGGGUCGCGAUCCCGCGAGUGUGAGCUAACUCUAAAAACCCGUCCUCAAUUCGGAUUGCAGGCUACAACUCGCCGAUUCAUGGAU